rnacentral:rRNA from 1 species
AAAUUGAAGAGUUUGAUCAUGGCUCAGAUUGAACGCUGGCGGCAGGCCUAACACAUGCAAGUCGAACGGUAACAGGAAGCAGCUUGCUGCUUCGCUGACGAGUGGCGGACGGGUGAGUAAUGUCUGGGAAACUGCCUGAUGGAGGGGGAUAACUACUGGAAACGGUGGCUAAUACCGCAUAACCUCGCAAGACCAAAGAGGGGGACCUUCGGGCCUCUUG